rnacentral:tRNA from 1 species
GCCGACGUGGCGGAAGUGGCAGACGCGAGCGCCUCGCACGCGCUUGGGCAAAAGCCCGUGUGGGUUCGAAUCCCACCGUCGGUA